CCUAUAUUUAAACCAGAUCUCAAUGAUUAUUUUUUACUUGAAAUAUUAUCUUAUUUUAUUAUUAUUUGAAACAUUUUCUUACAAUAGUUUAUUUAUAAAACAUGUAAAUGGCAUGCACGAAAAUAUAUUAUAUGAAUGACAAUAAAAACAUAAAUGACAAAUGUAGAUGAUAAUUCAAGGAUGCAUAUGAUCAUAUUUAAAAUGAAAUGCAAAUGCAAGAAGAUGGAUCAAGGGUUAGCUUUUAGGGUUUAUGGUUGAUUUAGGAUUUAGAGUAUAAAGUAAGGUUUAAGGCUUGGUUGAGGUCUAGGGGUUAGAUAUGGUUUAACUGUUAGUUUAGGAUUGGUUUUGGUUUGAUUUGGGUUUGUUUUGGUUUGGCUUGGUUUGGUUUGGUUUGGCUUGGUUUGAUUUGGUUUAGCUUGGGUUUGGUUUGGUUAGGAUCUUUAGAGUUUAAAAGAGUUGGUUUAGGUAUAAGGGUUUAGGUUUAGGUUUAGGUUUAGGUUUAGGAUUUUGGUUUAGGGUUUGGGCUUUAGGUUCAGUUUAGGGUCUAGGUAAGGGUUUAGGUUCAAGUUUAAAGGUUUGGAAUUUCGAUUUGGGAUUUGGUUAGGAUUGAGGUUUGAGUUAAGGUCUAACUUAGGGUUUUAGUUGAGGGUUUUGGAUUUCGAUUUGGGGUUUGGGAUAAGUUUAAAGGUUUUGGGCUUUGGUUUGGCUAAAGUUUGAGGGUUUAAGGUUUUAGUUUAUGGUUUCAUUAGGGUUUAGGGGUUUAGUUAAGGUUUAAAGGUAUGGGAUAGGUUUAGGGUUUGCAUGAGGGUUUAGGGUUUGUGUGAGGGUUUAGAGUUUGCAUGAGGGUUUAGGGGUUUAUAUAAGGGUUUAGGGUUUGCCUGAGGAUUUAGGCUUUGCAUGAAGGUUUAAAGGCUUGCAUGAUGAUUUAGGGUUUGCAUGAGGGUUUAGGGUUUGCAUGAAUGGUGCACGUGACAAUAUAAAUAUGGAAUAAAUGCAUAAUGUAACAUUUAAUGCAUGAAAUGGGAUUGAAUAUGAAAGCCAUAACUUAAGCAAAUUCACAAACACAUUACAACCUAAACAUGUAUGCAAAUACCUAACUUAAAAUAAAUCAAAUACGAAGUGCCAAGGCAAGGAGCAAUGUUUGGCCACACUAUGAAAGGAGCUUGAACCAAAACUAGCAUGGUCAUUUGUUCAUCCCUUAUAUUGGCCAAACCUUGGUGAUCAUGUAUCCACUAUUUCAUUUCCACAUACACACAUGAAAACAUUGUUAAACAUACUAAGAAAAAUUACUCAUUCAACAUUAUUAUCCUUUAAAAAAAAUUUAUCAAACACAUAGAAAACAUAAAGCUCUAACCAAGAACACAAGCAAGCAAGCAUGAAACACAAACUUUUGGCCAUGAAAAACAAGAUUAGAGGUCUCAGCCAUGUAAUAAGGGGUGCUAGGCUGAAACUUCCCAUGAUCUUUUCACAAACAAUCCAUCAUUUAUUUAGCUAAAGCAUAUAUCAAACACAUAGAAAACUAAAUUAUGAAGGCAUUUUAUUAUUAAAGGAUUUUUGUCACACAUGUGAUAAACUACUAAAAAGAAAAGCAUUAAAAACAUGCAUACUUACCAAACAAACAAAAUCGUCCAUAGAAGUAGUAAACUAUCAUGCAAAUAA
rnacentral:lncRNA from 1 species